rnacentral:rRNA from 1 species
CUACGUAGGGGGCGAGCGUUGUCCGGAAUGAUUGGGCGUAAAGGGCGCGUAGGCGGCGCGGUAAGUCUGGAGUGAAAGUCCUGCUUUCAAGGUGGGAAUUGCUUUGGAUACUGCCGCGCUUGAGUGCAGGAGAGGUUAUCGGAAUUCCCGGUGUAGCGGUGAAAUGCGUAGAGAUCGGGAGGAACACCAGUGGCGAAGGCGGGUAACUGGACUGCAACUGACGCUGAGGCGCGAAAGUGUGGGGAGCAAACAGGAUUAGAUACCCUGGUAGUCCACACUGUAAACGAUGAAUGCUAGGUGUAAGAGGUAUCGACCCCUUUUGUGCCGGAGUCAACACAAUAAGCAUUCCGCCUGGGGAGUACGGCCGCAAGGUUGAAACUCAAAGGAAUUGACGGGG